rnacentral:rRNA from 1 species
UACGGGGGGAACGAGCGUUGUUCGGAUUUACUGGGCGUAAAGGGCACGCAGGCGGGGAGACAAGUCAGAUGUGAAAACCCAUAGCUUAACUCUGGGCCUGCAUUUGAUACUGUUUCUCUUGAGUACGGGAGAGGAUGGCGGAAUUCUUGGUGUAGCGGUGAAAUGCGUAGAUAUCGAGAAGAACACCGGUGGCGAAGGCGGCCAUCUGGCCCGAUACUGACGCUCAUGUGCGAAGGCAAGGGGAGCAAACAGG